rnacentral:snRNA from 1 species
ACAAAGCAGCAAAAAUUGAACC